AAAAGUACUAGAUUUGUGGCAGGGUCUGUUUGAGGUAGUAGGUUGUAUAGUAAGUAUUACACCUAUUGGGAGUGCUGUACAGCCUGCUAACUUUCCCAGACCCGAGCCCUUUCAUCUGAGAAGACGC
rnacentral:pre_miRNA from 15 species